CCCUGGCAGUCAGAGGCGAUGAAGGGCGUACUAAUCUGCGAUAAGCGCCGGUAAGGUGAUAUGAACCGUUAUAACCGGCGAUACCCGAAUGGGGAAACCCAGUGUGAUUCGUCACACUAUCAUUAACUGAAUCCAUAGGUUAAUGAGGCGAACCGGGGGAACUGAAACAUCUAAGUACCCCGAGGAAAAGAAAUCAACCGAGAUUCCCCCAGUAGCGGCGAGCGAACGGGGAGGAGCCCAGAGCCUGAAUCAGCAUGUGUGUUAGUGGAAGCGUCUGGAAAGGCGCGCGAUACAGGGUGACAGCCCCGUACACAAAAGCGCAUGUGCUGUGAGCUCGAUGAGUAGGGCGGGACACGUGGUAUCCUGUCUGAAUAUGGGGGGACCAUCCUCCAAGGCUAAAUACUCCUGACUGACCGAUAGUGAACCAGUACCGUGAGGGAAAGGCGAAAAGAACCCCGGCGAGGGGAGUGAAAAAGAACCUGAAACCGUGUACGUACAAGCAGUGGGAGCACAGGUUUACCUGUGUGACUGCGUACCUUUUGUAUAAUGGGUCAGCGACUUAUAUUCUGUAGCAAGGUUAACCGAAUAGGGGAGCCGGAGGGAAACCGAGUCUUAAUUGGGCGUUAAGUUGCAGGGUAUAGACCCGAAACCCGGUGAUCUAGCCAUGGGCAGGUUGAAGGUUGGGUAACACUAACUGGAGGACCGAACCGACUAAUGUUGAAAAAUUAGCGGAUGACCUGUGGCUGGGGGUGAAAGGCCAAUCAAACCGGGAGAUAGCUGGUUCUCCCCGAAAGCUAUUUAGGUAGCGCCUCGUGAAUUCAUCUCCGGGGGUAGAGCACUGUUUCGGCUAGGGGGCCAUCCCGGCUUACCAACCCGAUGCAAACUGCGAAUACCGGAGAAUGUUAUCACGGGAGACACACGGCGGGUGCUAACGUCCGUCGUGAAGAGGGAAACAACCCAGACCGCCAGCUAAGGUCCCAAAGUCAUGGUUAAGUGGGAAACGAUGUGGGAAGGCCCAGACAGCCAGGAUGUUGGCUUAGAAGCAGCCAUCAUUUAAAGAAAGCGUAAUAGCUCACUGGUCGAGUCGGCCUGCGCGGAAGAUGUAACGGGGCUAAACCAUGCACCGAAGCUGCGGCAGCGACACUGUGUGUUGUUGGGUAGGGGAGCGUUCUGUAAGCCUGUGAAGGUGUGUCGUGAGGCAUGCUGGAGGUAUCAGAAGUGCGAAUGCUGACAUAAGUAACGAUAAAGCGGGUGAAAAGCCCGCUCGCCGGAAGACCAAGGGUUCCUGUCCAACGUUAAUCGGGGCAGGGUGAGUCGACCCCUAAGGCGAGGCCGAAAGGCGUAGUCGAUGGGAAACGGGUUAAUAUUCCCGUACUUGGUGUUACUGCGAAGGGGGGACGGAGAAGGCUAUGUUGGCCGGGCGACGGUUGUCCCGGUUUAAGCGUGUAGGUGUGUGUUCCAGGUAAAUCCGGUUCACUUUAACACUGAGGCGUGACGACGAGGCACUACGGUGCUGAAGCAACAAAUGCCCUGCUUCCAGGAAAAGCCUCUAAGCAUCAGGUAACAUCAAAUCGUACCCCAAACCGACACAGGUGGUCAGGUAGAGAAUACCAAGGCGCUUGAGAGAACUCGGGUGAAGGAACUAGGCAAAAUGGUGCCGUAACUUCGGGAGAAGGCACGCUGACACGUAGGUGAAGUGAUUUACUCAUGGAGCUGAAGUCAGUCGAAGAUACCAGCUGGCUGCAACUGUUUAUUAAAAACACAGCACUGUGCAAACACGAAAGUGGACGUAUACGGUGUGACGCCUGCCCGGUGCCGGAAGGUUAAUUGAUGGGGUCAGCGCAAGCGAAGCUCCUGAUCGAAGCCCCGGUAAACGGCGGCCGUAACUAUAACGGUCCUAAGGUAGCGAAAUUCCUUGUCGGGUAAGUUCCGACCUGCACGAAUGGCGUAAUGAUGGCCAGGCUGUCUCCACCCGAGACUCAGUGAAAUUGAACUCGCUGUGAAGAUGCAGUGUACCCGCGGCAAGACGGAAAGACCCCGUGAACCUUUACUAUAGCUUGACACUGAACAUUGAGCCUUGAUGUGUAGGAUAGGUGGGAGGCUUUGAAGUGUGGACGCCAGUCUGCAUGGAGCCGACCUUGAAAUACCACCCUUUAAUGUUUGAUGUUCUAACGUGGACCCGUUACCCGGGUUGCGGACAGUGUCUGGUGGGUAGUUUGACUGGGGCGGUCUCCUCCUAAAGAGUAACGGAGGAGCACGAAGGUUGGCUAAUCCUGGUCGGACAUCAGGAGGUUAGUGCAAUGGCAUAAGCCAGCUUGACUGCGAGCGUGACGGCGCGAGCAGGUGCGAAAGCAGGUCAUAGUGAUCCGGUGGUUCUGAAUGGAAGGGCCAUCGCUCAACGGAUAAAAGGUACUCCGGGGAUAACAGGCUGAUACCGCCCAAGAGUUCAUAUCGACGGCGGUGUUUGGCACCUCGAUGUCGGCUCAUCACAUCCUGGGGCUGAAGUAGGUCCCAAGGGUAUGGCUGUUCGCCAUUUAAAGUGGUACGCGAGCUGGGUUUAGAACGUCGUGAGACAGUUCGGUCCCUAUCUGCCGUGGGCGCUGGAGAACUGAGGGGGGCUGCUCCUAGUACGAGAGGACCGGAGUGGACGCAUCACUGGUGUUCGGGUUGUCAUGCCAAUGGCACUGCCCGGUAGCUAAAUGCGGAAGAGAUAAGUGCUGAAAGCAUCUAAGCACGAAACUUGCCCCGAG
rnacentral:rRNA from 1 species